rnacentral:rRNA from 1 species
AUUGAACGCUGGCGGCAUGCUUUACACAUGCAAGUCGAACGGUAACAGGCCGCAAGGUGCUGACGAGUGGCGAACGGGUGAGUAAUGCAUCGGAACGUGCCCAGUCGUGGGGGAUAACGCAGCGAAAGCUGUGCUAAUACCGCAUACGAUCUGUGGAUGAAAGCGGGGGACCGAAAGGCCUCGCGCGAUUGGAGCGGCCGAUGUCAGAUUAGGUAGUUGGUGGGGUAAAGGCUCACCAAGCCAACGAUCUGUAGCUGGUCUGAGAGGACGACCAUCCACACUGGGACUGAGACACGGCCCAGACUCCUACGGGAGACAGCAGUGGGGAAUUUUGGACAGUGGGCGAAAGCCUGAUCCAGCCAUGCCGCGUGCAGGAUGAAGGCCUUCGGGUUGUAAACUGCUUUUGUACGGAACGAAAAGACUCUUUCUAAUAAAGAAGGUCCAUGACGGUACCGUAAGAAUAAGCACCGGCUAACUACGUGCCAGCCGCCGCCGUAACAC